CUUAAAGGCAUAUUUAGAAAUCAUCAUGCAGAUACAUGCAGCUGAAUGAAAUGCUGAAUUAACAUCAGAUGAAUUGCAACAGACUAGAUCACUAAUAAAAUAACAUUAUUCUUAUUUCCAGAGACCAGUCUGACUGUCCAGAAUCCACGGAAAUGGAUGGAAAUGCCCUAUUUAAGCUGGUGGAAAUCCAAGGCAUUGACAUUUUGAUGAGUGAGAUGAGAAGGUAUAAAAGGAUUCUUUUUCCACACCUGUCACAAUCUUCAGGGAGUGACAAGCAGGAUGAAGCCAGU